AGGGCACCACCAGGAGUGGAGCCUGCGGCUUAAUUUGACUCAACACGGGAAAACUCACCCGGCCCGGACACUGGAAGGAUUGACAGAUUGAGAGCUCUUUCUUGAUUCAGUGGGUGGUGGUGCAUGGCCGUUCUUAGUUGGUGGAGCGACUUGUCUGGUUAAUUCCGAUAACGAACGAGACUCUAGCCUACUAAAUAGAUCGUCGGCUUACAAACGCCGAUGAGACUUCUUAGAGGGACAGGCGGCGAUUCAGCCGCACGAAACAGAGCAAUAACAGGUCUGUGAUGCCCUUAGAUGUCCGGGGCCGCACGCGCGCUACACUGAAGUGAUCAGCGUGCAUUUUCAGCCUACUCUGCCAAGAGUGGGAAACCCAAUGAACCUUCUUCGUGAUUGGGAUAGGGGAUUGUAAUUAUUCCCCUUGAACGAGGAAUUCCCAGUAAGCGCGAGUCAUAAGCUCGCGUUGAUUACGUCCCUGCCCUUUGUACACACCGCCCGUCGCUACUACCGAUUGAAUGUUUU
rnacentral:rRNA from 1 species